UAAAACUUAACAUAUAUGCCACUUAUCAAUCACAACUAUUUGGCACUCAAAAUACCAAUUCACAAUCAAGGCAUUUACAUGGAAACCAUAUAUCACAUAUAAUAGAACUAUUUACAAAUUUACAUAACAAAAUAUAUCAAAAUCAAGCCAACUUAAAUGGCUAAAUACAUGCCAAAACACAUGGGCUACCAUUAGACAACAAGACCUAUUCAUGCCAUUUAACCCAAAAUAUCAAGUCAAAAGUACCAAAAUAACGUUUGAUAGUGUGAUGCAAUCUCGACAACUUUCAAUCCGAACGAGCUUUUGAGACACCAUAAAACACGGAAAAAUAAACAGAGUAAGCAAUUAAGCUUAAUAAGUUCGUAUAUUACAGAAUUAAACUUACCAUUUAACCACAAAUUUAGGUAAGUAACCCAAAGCAUAAUACAAUUCAAUUUGGCCAAAGCCUAUCACAUAACCAUUUAACAAGUUGGCCAUGUAUUCAUAUAAAAACCGAGAAUCAUGUAUGAAUUCAACAAUUAUAAAAUUUCAUAUACAUGUAUCAUCUAUAUUGUGUAUCCGUAUAUCAUAUAUAAAUCAUUUCCAUGUAAAUACCUGUACUAUUUUAUAUCAAACUUGUAUAAUCCCGUAAUAACACUAUGCCCAUUGAACCACUCAGAAUAUCGUUAGAUACGCGAGUAGUACACACGAGGUGUAUUGAACUGUAAUCCGUCAAUUCUUGUACAUGUAUGCUCAUACAAGCGAUAAACGAUAAGCUCCUCCGAGCUAAAAAUCGGUAAGCUCAUACGAGCUGAGUAUCGAUAAGCUCAUAAGAGCUAGAAUCAGUAACCCUAAUGACAUGUCAUUUGUAUCCUACGAAUUCUUAAGGUUCAAACGGGGCUCGGUAUUCUUCGUAUGGCGUCGGUUAUGCGCUUGAUAAUUAUACAUAAUAAUUAAUCCAUUCACAUGCAUAUAUUCCAAUUAAAGCAUAUAAAUACGCAAUUUAAUUAAACGAACUUACCUCAAACUUGUACGACAAAAAACAAUCAUUCAAUCCAAACCUUUAUCUUUCUCCCAAUCUAAAUCCAUACGUUGCUUUUCUUGAUCUAUAUAAUCAAAUUUAACUAAUUUAAUCUUUAUUCUAUUCAAUUCAAUCCAAAAUUCAUGUUAUGGAAAAAUUACCAUUUUACCCCUAUACAUUUGACUUUUUUACAAUUUAGUCCCUAGGCUCGUAAAAUGAAAUUCAUGCAAUUUCAUCCACACCUAAGCCUAGACGAAUUAUAUAUGUGAUUAUAGCAGCCCAUACAUUUCACAAUUUGACACAUUUAACACAUAAAUUUUCAUAUUUCUCAAUUUAACCCCUAAUCCACAUUUCAUUAAAAAUCACUUAACAAAAGUUGUUUAACUAACAACAAAGAUUCAUUUUCUUCCAUUAAAAUUUUAAAAAAUCAAAACUCUCUCAUGGUAAAACCCUAUACUUUCAACCAUUUUGCAAAUCAGUCCCCUGAUUAGUUAGGUUAAGCUACAACAAUUCCAAAAAUAUAAAAAUCAACAAAAACAAACACCAAAAUCACUUACAUGCAAGAGUUUCCUUGGCUGAAAAUUUCAAGCUCUCCCAAGUCUAUUUUUGCUGAAAAUUUCG
rnacentral:lncRNA from 1 species